rnacentral:tRNA from 1 species
GGGGAUAUAGCUCAGUUGGUAGAGUGCUUGCCUUGCAUGCACAAAGCCCUGGGUUUGAACCCCAGCACCA